rnacentral:rRNA from 1 species
UCUGGACGGAGCAACGCCGCGUGAGUGACGAAGGUUUUCGGAUCGUAAAACUCUGUUGUGAGGGAAGAACACGUACCAACUAACUAUUGGUACCUUGACGGUACCUCACCAGAAAGCCACGGCUAACUACGUGCCAGCAGCCGCGGUAAUACGUAGGUGGCAAGCGUUGUCCGGAAUUAUUGGGCGUAAAGCGCGCGCAGGCGGUUCCUUAAGUCUGAUGUGAAAGCCCACGGCUCAACCGUGGAGGGUCAUUGGAAACUGGGGAACUUGAGUGCAGAAGAGGAAAGUGGAAUUCCACGUGUAGCGGUGAAAUGCGUAGAGAUGUGGAGGAACACCAGUGGCGAAGGCGACUUUCUGGUCUGUAACUGACGCUGAGGCGCGAAAGCGUGGGGAGCAAACAGGAUUAGAUACCCUGGUAGUCCACGCCGUAAACGAUGAGUGCUAAGUGUUAGGGGGUUUCCGCCCCUUAGUGCUGCAGCUAACGCAUUAAGCACUCCGCCUGGGGAGUACGGCCGCAAGGCUGAAACUCAAAGGAAUUGACGG